CGUGACAUUUUUUAAACAUUUCCGAGGUUAUAAUAGCAAGUAAAGUGAUUUAUGGAAACAGUAUUAUUUUAAAGUUACAUCUGUUGACACUGCUGACGAGAAUUACAAAAAAAUAGGGAGCAGUGACGUCAACCCUCUCUCUUCCCAGCCUGGGAAUGACGGUUGAUAAAGACUCGGGCAAUAUGGUGUUAAAGUACAGCCUAUUACCUAAACUACCUACAUUCAAGACAUCUGACGAUAAUGUACUAGAUCUUGCGAAUGUAGACUCUCUACAAAGCAUAUUUAAUGGAUGUAUUUGUGAAUAAAUGAAAAGCAAUUACAAAA